rnacentral:rRNA from 1 species
GGCGAACGGGUGAGUAACACAUCGGAACGUACCCAGGAGUGGGGGACAACCUCGAGAAAUCGAGGCUAAUACCGCAUACGUCCUGAGGGAGAAAGCGGGGGAUUCGCAAGGACCUCGCGCUCAUGGAUCGGCCGAUGCCGGAUUAGUUAGUUGGUGGGGUAAUAGCCCACCAAGGCUACGAUCCGUAGCUGGUUUGAGAGAACGACCAGCCACACUGGGACUGAGACACGGCCCAG